rnacentral:rRNA from 1 species
GAUGAACGCUAGCUACAGGCUUAACACAUGCAAGUCGAGGGGAAACGGCAUUGAGUGCUUGCACUCUUUGGACGUCGACCGGCGCACGGGUGAGUAACGCGUAUUCAACCUUCCCAUUACUGUGGGAUAACCUGCCGAAAGGCAGACUAAUACCGCAUAGUCUUCGAUGACGGCAUCAGAUUUGAAGUAAAGUUUUAUCGGUAAUGGAUGGGGAUGCGUCUGAUUAGCUUGUUGGCGGGGUAACGGCCCACCAAGGCUACGAUCAGUAGGGGUUCUGAGAGGAAGGUCCCCCACAUGGGAACUGAGACACGGUCCAAACUCCUACGGGAGGGAGCAGUGAGGAAUAUUAGUCAAUGGACGGAAGUCUGAACCAGCCAAGUAGCGUGCAGGAUGACGGCCCUAUGGGCUGUAAACUGCCUUUGUAUGGGGAUAAAGUUAGGGACGGGGCCCUAUUUGCAGGUACCAUACGAAUAAGGACCGGCUAAUUCCGUG